rnacentral:rRNA from 1 species
CGGACGGGUGAGUAACGCGUGGAGAACCUGCCGUAUACUGGGGGAUAACACUUAGAAAUAGGUGCUAAUACCGCAUAAGCGCACAGCUUCGCAUGAAGCAGUGUGAAAAACUCCGGUGGUAUACGAUGGAUCCGCGUCUGAUUAGCUGGCUGGCGGGGUAAAGGCCCACCAAGGCGACGAUCAGUAGCCGGCCUGAGAGGGUGAACGGCCACAUUGGGACUGAGACACGGCCCAAACUCCUACGGGAGGCAGCAG